CUAAGAACUAGACUUCACCGCCAAGCUCACUUGCUGGACUUCUCCGGCUAUUCGUCAACAAGAGAUGCUUCAGAAAGAUGCCAAUCUUCCAUGCAACAUUGUUUCAGUUCUCCCGUCCAACUUGCUAAUCUUCAACCACCACGUAUUUCAGUCUGAUCUUCUACGAAAAAUAGAGAGAAAAAAAAGGAGGUAUAAAUAGUAUCUGGGCAAACUUCUUAUGUCCAUGCGUGAAUGGGAAGGUUGAAAGAACAACAGAAAAUAAAUAUCAUCAUUCUCUUUUGUCCUCCUCAAGAACAACUUCUCCAAGACUAAACACAUGAUCUGCUGUAAUAGAUGCCUUCCUCUCCUUCCUAUCCAGUUUAGACAGAUCUCCUCCCAC
rnacentral:lncRNA from 1 species